GUCUAUGGCCAUACCACUCUGAAUGAACUCAAUCUUGUCUGAUCUCAGAAGCUAAGCAGGGUCGGGCCUGGUUGGUACUUGGAAGGGAGAACAUAAGUUUGGAAUCGAUU
rnacentral:rRNA from 1 species